CCCCCCCUAAGAUGAGGCCUCCCUUGAGGGGCGUUGGAGACUACGACGUUGAUAGGCUGUAGGUGUAAAGCUGGUAACAGCAAAGCCGAGCAGUACUAAUACCCCGAACGACUUCCG
rnacentral:rRNA from 1 species